UAGGAGUUUGAUCAUGGCUCAGAUUGAACGCUGGCGGCAUGCCUAACACAUGCAAGUCGAACGGCAGCACGGAGCUUGCUCUGGUGGCGAGUGGCGAACGGGUGAGUAAUAUAUCGGAACGUACCCUAGAGUGGGGGAUAACGUAGCGAAAGUUACGCUAAUACCGCAUACGAUCUAAGGAUGAAAGUGGGGGAUCGCAAGACCUCAUGCUCGUGGAGCGGCCGAUAUCUGAUUAGCUAGUUGGUAGGGUAAAAGCCUACCAAGGCAUCGAUCAGUAGCUGGUCUGAGAGGACGACCAGCCACACUGGAACUGAGACACGGUCCAGACUCCUACGGGAGGCAGCAGUGGGGAAUUUUGGACAAUGGGCGAAAGCCUGAUCCAGCAAUGCCGCGUGAGUGAAGAAGGCCUUCGGGUUGUAAAGCUCUUUUGUCAGGGAAGAAACGGUGANAGCUAAUAUCUUUUGCUAAUGACGGUACCUGAAGAAUAAGCACCGGCUAACUGA
rnacentral:rRNA from 1 species